GAGUUUGAUCUUGGCUCAGAUUGAACGCUGGCGGCAGGCCUAACACAUGCAAGUCGAGCGGUAGAGAGAAGCUUGCUUCUCUUGAGAGCGGCGGACGGGUGAGUAAUGCCUAGGAAUCUGCCUGGUAGUGGGGGAUAACGCUCGGAAACGGACGCUAAUACCGCAUACGUCCUACGGGAGAAAGCAGGGGACCUUCGGGCCUUGCGCUAUCAGAUGAGCCUAGGUCGGAUUAGCUAGUUGGUGUGGUAAUGGCUCACCAAGGCGACGAUCCGUAACUGGUCUGAGAGGAUGAUCAGUCACACUGGAACUGAGACACGGUCCAGACUCCUACGGGAGGCAGCAGUGGGGAAUAUUGGACAAUGGGCGAAAGCCUGAUCCAGCCAUGCCGCGUGUGUGAAGAAGGUCUUCGGAUUGUAAAGCACUUUAAGUUGGGAGGAAGGGCAGUAAAUUAAUACUUUGCUGUUUUGACGUUACGACAGAAUAAGCACCGGCUAACUCUGUGCCAGCA
rnacentral:rRNA from 1 species